UUUACAUACAUUCAAAUAUUCUUUUUGCAAUCAGUACAAAUUGUAUGGUCUUUUAUUUCAGAUGAAUCGGUUCCACAAGCAAGAAAGCAUUCCAGGACGGAGCGUGUGUCCGGAAGUUAACAUUUAUACAUGCAUUUAAGAAACUAGAGUCAUAUUUCCUACCAUGGAACUACUGACACUCAACCUGGUGCAUAUCAUGUGACUGUUCUGAUGUGUUUGUCUCUUCUGCCUUUUUUCAGGUCAGCAGACAUCACUGCCUCCACCACCUGCAUAGGAGUCAACACCACACAGGAAACCAGCCGGUCGGCCAGAGCUGGAUGGGUCUAUUUUAACACAAGCUCGGCCUGCCACUUCAUCUUGGGACCCGGUUGAAGCAACUUUUCAUGACAA